GGUUUGGAUUUAUGGGGCUUUAUUCAUAAAAAAAGGGGGAUUUUCAACACUUCGGACUAUAACUCAAAAAGGCUUUCACCAAUGUCCAUGAAACUUUGGUGAAUUGUUUAUAUCUAUUGAUGUAAGCUCCCUUUCAAUUUUUAUAAAUUUCAGAUUUUAAGUUUUGGAUUUAUGGGGCUUUAUUCAUAAAAAAGGGUGAUUUUCAACACUUCGGACAAUAACUCAAAAAGGCUUUCACCAAUGUCCAUGAAACUUUGGUGAAUUGUUUAUAUCUAUUGAUGUAAGCUCCCUUU
rnacentral:lncRNA from 1 species